rnacentral:rRNA from 1 species
GACGAACGCUGGCGGCGCGCCUAACACAUGCAAGUCGAACGAGAGAUGAGGAGCUUGCUCUUCAAAUCGAGUGGCGAACGGGUGAGUAACGCGUGAGGAACCUGCCUCAAAGAGGGGGACAACAGUUGGAAACGACUGCUAAUACCGCAUAAGCCCACGGCUCGGCAUCGAGCAGAGGGAAAAGGAGCAAUCCGCUUUGAGAUGGCCUCGCGUCCGAUUAGUUAGUUGGUGAGGUAACGGCUCACCAAGACCGCGAUCGGUAGCCGGACUGAGAGGUUGAACGGCCACAUUGGGACUGAGACACGGCCCAGACUCCUACGGGAGGCAGCAGUGGGGGAUAUUGCGCAAUGGGGGAAACCCUGACGCAGCAACGCCGCGUGGAGGAUGAAGGUCUUCGGAUUGUAAACCUCUGUGGACAGGGACGAUAAUGACGGUACCUGUUUAGAAAGCCACGGCUAACUACGUG